UCGGUUGAUCCUGCCGGAGGUCACUGCUAUCAGUGUUCGACUAAGCCAUGCAAGUCAAAUGUUCUUCGUGAACAUGGCGGACUGCUCAGUAACACGUGGAUAACCUGCCCUUAGGAUUGGCAUAACACCGGGAAACUGGUGAUAAUACCGAAUAGACCAUUUAUGCUGGAAUGCUUUUUGGUUCAAAGGCUUCGGCUGCCUAAGGAUGGAUCUGCGGCCUAUCAGGUAGUAGUGGGUGUAAUGUACCUACUAGCCUACGACGGGUACGGGUUGUGAGAGCAAGAGCCCGGAGAUGGAUUCUGAGACAUGAAUCCAGGCCCUACGGGGCGCAGCAGGCGCGAAAACUUUACAAUGCGGGAAACCGCGAUAAGGGGACACUGAGUGCCAGCAUAUUAUGUUGGCUGUCCACAUGUAUAAAAACCAUGUGUUAGCAAGGGCCGGGCAAGACCGGUGCCAGCCGCCGCGGUAACACCGGCGGCCCGAGUGGUGAUCACUUUUAUUGGGUCUAAAGGGUCCGUAGCCGGUUUGAUCAGUCUUCUGGGAAAUCUGACAGCUCAACUGUUAGGCUUUCAGGGGAUACUGUUAAACUUGGGANCGGGAGAGGUAAGANGNACUACAGGGGUAGGAGUGAAAUCUUGUAAUCCCUGUGGGANCACCAGUGGCGAAGGNNUCUUACCANAACGGGUCCNACGGUGAGGGACGAAAGCUGGGGGCACGAACCGGAUUANAUACCCGGGUAGUCCCAGCCGUAAACNAUGUUCGCUAGGUGUCAGGNNGGUGCNACCGUUUCUGGNNCCGUAGGGAANCCGUGAANC
rnacentral:rRNA from 1 species